rnacentral:lncRNA from 10 species
AAAGGGUAGGGAACUUCCUUCCUGCCCCCUCCGAGUUUUGCCUCUCUCACUGGCAGCAACCCAGCGCUUCCAUUGCUGACCUCUACCGACCUCUACCUGUGGUCCUUCCUCUACUGCAGCAGAGACACUGUUUUCUUCCUUUGUUCUUCCAACCCCAUGGGGAAUAUCACAGAAGUGAAGUGCAAUUCUCAUCAUGUCAUAUCAAGAGCACACACUAACAAACAACAUGACUUAUUGCUGAAUAUUGAACUUGAUCACCUGGCUGAGGUAGUGUUUGCCAGAUUUCUCUGUAAAGGUGAAUAAACUGACACUGGAACAUUCAGGAACUUCUUCAUGGUCAUGGUCACCCAGCUAGAGUGUGGAAGCCAGGCUGUCUGAUUCCAGGAUCUGUGUUCUUAAUCCUAUACAUAAGGAAGCCAUAAUGAGUCAACCACUAUUUUUAAGAUUCACAGAUGUUCGGGUCCAAUUCACCAGAAUGCCAAGUUAUACAGGGUUGUGGAAUCAAAAACUGCAAUUAGUAAUAAAAUGUGAUGCUAUCUAGAAUGUUUUUCAUACAUAUAUAUGCUUCUUGGGACUCUCCCUGCAGGUUAAGAGAAAUUGAGAAACGAUGGAGAAUUUAAGUGUUUUAGAUCCUACAUACAUUAGACUUAAAAAUAGUAACUAUGUACAUGAGUAUUUGUAAACUUAAGAAUGAACAUAACAUGAACCAUGUGGCACCUAUAAAAUGAAAAUAAAAUACCUACAAACCAAAUGAGAGCAAUAAAAGAAGCUUUAAGGACUUUCACUUCAGGGAGUCUGAAUUAGAUGCGCUUCUUCCCAUUCCUCCCUCUAAUUACAACAAGCUUGGACGUUACAUACAGAACAAACAGAAGGAGUCUCUGAAAGAUGAAGAGAAGGCAAGUAAGCUACAGACUUCACAAUGUAAGGAAUAAUAUGGUGGUCUAGUGGUGGUAAACUCCCUCCAUUUUCCUUUUCUGGGAAAGUCUUCAUCUCUCCUUAAUUUCUGAAGAACAGCUUUGUCAGGUAAAGUAUUCUGGGUUUACAUUUUUUUUCUUUCAGCACUUUAAAUGAAUAUUAUUCCAUUCUCUCUUGGCCUGCAAAGUUUCUGCUGAGAAAUUCACUGAUAGGCUUGAGAAGUUCCCCUGUAUGUGAGGAUCCUUUUUUAUCUUGCUGCUUUAAAAAAUUAUCUUUCGACAAUUUGCUUAUGAUAUGUCUUCUUUUGGUUGAAUCUAGCUAGAGAUCUGAGAUUCCUGUGCCUGGGUGUUUAUAUCUGAGAUUGGGGAAGUUUUCAGACAUUAAUUCUUUAAAUAAAUUUUGUCUCUAUUCUCCUUGAAUUCUACAAUGUACAUGUUAGCUCUUUUGAAGAUAUCCCAUAAAUCUUGUAGGCUUUUCGCUCCUUUUUAUUUUCUCCUCUGAUCAAAUAUUUUCAAAUAUCCAGCGUUUGAGUUUACCAAUUUGUUUUUCUGCUUGAUCAGUUCUGUUAAUAGUCUCUAUUGUGCUUUUUCAUUUUAUUCAUUGUAUUAUUUAGCUCCAGGUUGUUUGGUUCUUUUGAAUUAUUCCCACCCCUCUGUUAAACUUCUAGUUUUAUUUGUAUUGACUUUCUGAUUUCAUUGAGUUGUCUCUGUUCUCCUGUAGUUCACUGAGCUUCCUUAAAAUAAUUAUUUUGAUUUUUCUUUCUUUUUUUUUUUUUAAGACAACAGAAAUAUAUUUUCUCACACUUCUGGAGGCUGGAAAUACAAAAUCAAGAUGUUGGCAGGACAACACUCCCUCCAAGACUUCGAGAAGAAGAUCCUUGCCUUUGAGCUUCUAAUGGCGCCAGGCUUCCCUGGCAUGUGGUUGCACAACUCCAAUCUCAAUCUCAUCUUCCUGUGCUGUCUUGCCUGUGUCUAUAUGUCUCCGUCUUCAUAUGGCAUUCUCCUCCCUGUGCCUCCAUUUUCUCUUUUUUUUUUAUUAUUAUACUUUAAGUUUUAGGGUACAUGCACACAACGUGCAGGUUUGUUACAUAUGUAUACAUAUGCCAUGUUGGUGUGCUGCCUCCAUUAACUCGUCAUUUAGCAUUAGGUAUAUCUCCUAAUGCUAUCCCUCCCCCCUCCCCCCACCCCACAAAAGUCUCCAGUGUGUGAUGUUGCCCUUCCUGUGUCCAUGUGUUCUCAUUGUUCAAUUCCCACCUAUGAGUGAGAACAUGCGGUGUUUGGUUCUUUGUCCUUGUGAUAGUUUGCUGAGAAUGAUGGUUUCCAGUUUCAUCCAUGUCACUACAAAGGACA